rnacentral:tRNA from 1 species
GCAGGGGUAGCCAAGCCCGGAAAAGGCGCAGGACUUAGGAUCCUGUCCUUAGUGGUCCAAGGGUUCAAAUCCCUUCCCCCGCACCA